rnacentral:rRNA from 1 species
GACGUAGGGUGCGAGCGUUGUCCGGAUUUAUUGGGCGUAAAGAGCUCGUAGGCGGCUCGUCGCGUCGACCGUGAAAACCCGCGGCUUAACUGCGGGCUUGCGGUUGAUACGGGCGGGCUAGAGUUCGGUAGGGGAGACUGGAAUUCCUGGUGUAGCGGUGAAAUGCGCAGAUAUCGGGAGGAACACCAGUGGCGAAGGCGACUUCCUGGCCUGUUCUUGGCGCUGAGGCGCGAAAGCUAGGGUAGCAAACGGG